CAUAAGAACAAAAAUAAAACAAAGGGUGAACUUCUUCAAAAAAGAAAAUAAAUAAAAAUAGUCGGAUAUCAUCUUUCUUGAAGGACCAAGGGCUAUAGAUCGAGAAACGGGAACAAGUACUCUACCAGAUUAUCUAUCUUAAUCAGGAAUAAGAUAUCAGUGAAGUUUUUGGUUGACGUGGGUCGUAGGAACUGCACGUGUUAUCAGGUUCGGCGGCUGACGCGUUUUGACAACCUUCUCCUCCUCCUCAUCAUUUUUGCAUGUAGAUAAAUGUGUAGUAUAUAGAGUGGUGAGAGGGUCCCACUACG